ensembl:lncRNA
GCAGGAUUUGCAGGCCUAGUAGUGUAUCACAAUAUUACAGUGGAUGUGAACAGAUCAUGUCUAUGACUGGUAUUAAUUAGUGUCCCUGGUAUCCCCUAGGAGGGAAUGUUGUGUAUUUUUUCAUCCACAACAAUAUUUUAUUCCUUUAUUCCGGGGGUCUUGGCCGUUUUCCUGCAGUUUUCUGCCACCCCCAAACUUCAGUUACAUAACCUUAACAUCCACUCCAAAUGGGUCUAUAGACAGAAACGAAUGUGAAAGUUAAGUACAUCUGUGUCCAGACUUGACCUAUUCCAGAACAUUUUAUUUUACUUUUGGUAAAUACACUUGCUGAAGAUUUGUCUGGACAAUAUAUUUUUUUGGUAAAGUGAACGCUAACUGGAGAAAAUCAGAGCUACUGCAUUCCAUCGAUAAAAAAGUCAACCCCCAGGAUAGAAAUAUGACAUCCAGAGCAGGGAGAAGAAGAAGCAAAGAAGAACCUCCCAACUUUGGUGAAGGAAAUCAACAAGAACAAGACGAUGGAUUCGAUUGGACGAAUAUACUUCUCAUUGGGAUGGGCGUUGUGGGAGCAGUAGGAGCACUAGCAACCGGACAACCAGGAGCAGCAGGACUAAUAGUAGCAGCAACAGCAGGAAUAUACUAUGUAAGGAAAUCAAGACAAUCAUCCUCAAACUGAACUAAAGCUGUGAGUUGUUUAUAAACCGGGUGCUUCGAAUCUGGCAUGCUGAUUGGCUGAUAGCUGUGGUAUAUGAGACCGUAAUACCUUGGGUAUACCCAGUGGCGUAUAAUCGGGGGGGGGGGGGCCCUAACAUGUAGAAGGGUCCUUGAAAAUGUUUGAAUCUUGAAUAUAGGGGAGUGGCCCUCAGAGACCGCCUAUGUACAGGGCCCAGAAUGUUGUGCUACACCCCUGGGUAUACCAUCACAUAUCUCAGGCCAUAGCUUAUAAAUUGUCCAUGAUUGGCCCAUAUGUGGCGCUGUAAUAAGCAUGUCAUUUUUAACCCGGCUGCCCUGUUUGAUGUAAAGGUUUGAUACUCUCCUGUCAGGAUAAACAUAUUUGAGUCGAGAAAAUAUAAAGUCUGCAUGAUGGUGGACACAUUUUUUAAAGAAACUACAAAUGCUUAUAAAUUUGCACUCAAAAGUAUUAUGGCAAGUUACCAAAUUUGUGAUAUGUUGUCAGCGCUACAGUGAGUGACUAUGUCAACUAUGUCAAAUGUUAUGAUAUUUUAACAUAUACAGAAACUACAGGCAAACUAAUCCUGUGAACCGUCUUCCCUAUUAAUCCAGGAUUUCAUAAGUGAAGCCUUGAAAUAUUCUUCAGUACGUGUGGAGUAUAGUUAGUAUGUUUUUGUUUUAGAAUAGUUAGUAGGGUUUUGGUUUUGAUUCACAUUUUGUGCUGUAAAAGUAGGAAAUUGGUUCUUUGCUGCACCACACCUCCAAUUGAGUUGGUCAUCACUUUAUAAAAGCAAUAAGGCAUCUGGGGGUUGUGGAAGAUUUACAUGCUUUAUUAAUAUUACAAUUGUUACUUUAUAAGCCUUUUGUGUAUUUUAUUUCAAUUGAAUUAUCUUGGAAGAUGCUCUUGUUCAGAUUUACUUACAAUAGUGAAUGUGUAAAUUUUCA